rnacentral:rRNA from 1 species
GACCAGACUCCUACGGGAGGCAGCAGUGAGGAAUAUUGGUCAAUGGGCGGAAGCCUGAACCAGCCAAGUCGCGUGAGGGAAUAAGGCCCUACGGGUCGUAAACCUCUUUUGCCGGGGAGCAGUGGUCCGGACGCGUCCGGACCGGGAGAGUACCCGGAGAAAAAGCAUCGGCUAACUCCGUGCCAGCAGCCGCGGUAAUACGGAGGAUGCGAGCGUUAUCCGGAUUUAUUGGGUUUAAAGGGUGCGUAGGCGGGCAUUUAAGCCGGCGGUCAAAUGUCGGGGCUCAACCCUGUACUGCCGUUGAAACUGCAUCCCUUGAGUGCGCGAGAAGUAUGCGGAAUGCGUGGUGUAGCGGUGAAAUGCAUAGAUAUCACGCAGAACUCCGAUUGCGAAGGCAGCAUACCGGCGCGCAACUGACGCUCAUGCACGAAAGCGUGGGUAUCGAACAGGAUUAGAUACCCGGGUA